AGAGUUUGAUCCUGGCUCAGGAUGGACGCUAGCUACAGGCUUAACACAUGCAAGUCGAGGGGCAGCAUUUUAGUUUGCUUGCAAACUGAAGAUGGCGACCGGCGCACGGGUGAGUAACACGUAUCCAACCUGCCGAUAACUCCGGAAUAGCCUUUCGAAAGAAAGAUUAAUACCGGAUAGCAUACGAAUAUCGCAUGAUAUUUUUUAUUAAAGAAUUUCGGUUAUCGAUGGGGAUGCGUUCCAUUAGUUUGG
rnacentral:rRNA from 1 species